CACGUAGUUAGCCGGUGCUUAUUCUUCCAGUACCGUCAUCCCCACCCCGUAUUCAGGGAUGGGAUUUCUUCCCGGACAAAAGAGCUUUACAACCCGAAGGCCUUCUUCACUCACGCGGCAUUGCUGGAUCAGGGUUGCCCCCAUUGUCCAAAAUUCCCCACUGCUGCCUCCCGUAGGAGUCUGGGCCGUGUCUCAGUCCCAGUGUGGCUGGUCGUCCUCUCAGACCAGCUACUGAUCGUCGCCUUGGUAGGCUUUUACCCCACCAACUAGCUAAUCAGAUAUCGGCCGCUCCACGAGCAUGAGGUCUUGCCGAUCCCCCACUUUCCCCCUCAGGGCGUAUGCGGUAUUAGCUAGUCUUUCGACUAGUUAUCCCCCACUCCAGGGCACGUUCCGAUAUGUUACUCACCCGUUCGCCACUCGCCGCCAGACCGAAGUCCGCGCUGCCGUUCGACUUGCAUGUGUAAGGCAUGCCGCCAGCGUUCAAUCUGAGCCAGGAUCAAACUCU
rnacentral:rRNA from 1 species